UGUGUAACGUCCUCACUACUUCUUGUGUCUCCCUGCUGCCGUCCUCCGCUCCAUUCCCUCACUACAUACCCCCACAUCCACAUCAAUUACUCGCCGUGGGACAAGCCGAGCGGCGUCUUUGGGCCGGCUGAGAGGGACGGGGGGACUUUGGAGCGCCUCAAGUAGAAGAAGAAGACGACGCUGAAGAGCAGGAUGGCAAACUGCGCCUCGCCUUUGUGGUGCAUCAUCUGGCUGCUGCUGCUGCUCUUCCUCGCCUGGCCCCUCAGCAUCACCUUGGGGGGUAUCUACGGUCUCGUCAGCCCCCUCACCACCUGCCUCGGCCUGGACCGCCUCUCCGACCUUCUCCUGGAGGGCGCCAACCUGGGCCGAACCUGCGCCCUGAACAUGCGGCACUGCAAGCCGCUGUGUUGAGCCGCGCGAACAAGUUGUGCGAUUGUUAUCGUCGUCCGUGAAGAAAACGGAUUGAGCUGGAUGUGUUGGCAUGCAAGCGGCCGCAUGUUUGUGUUUUGCGAGGCUCUGUUGCUACGGAAACGGGCCCGGUUAAUUCCCGAUGACGCUGCACGAAGAAGAUAAGAGCGCAAGUGGCGAAUGUAACAAUGGCGACGCUCGUACUUAUAAAUGACUGUUUGCAAACUUCUAAUACGAUUAAACCUGCUUUCAACUCCUG